rnacentral:rRNA from 1 species
UACGGAGGGUGCAAGCGUUAUUCGGAAUUACUGGGCGUAAAGCGCGUGUAGGCGGGGAUACAAGUCUGAUGUGAAAGCCCUGGGCUUAACCUGGGAAGUGCAUUGGAAACUGUAUUUCUUGAGUACUGGAGAGGAAGGGGGAAUUCCUGGUGUAGAGGUGAAAUUCGUAGAGAUCGGGAGGAAUACCAGUGGCGAAGGCGCCCUUCUGGACGGUUACUGACGCUGAGACGCGAAAGCGUGGGGAGCAAACAGG